CUGACACAGGGAGGUAGUGACAAGAAAUAACAAUACAGGGCUAAUGUCUUGUAAUUGGAAUGAUGGUGACCCAAACCCUCACCAGAGUAGCAAUUGGAGGGCAAGUCUGGUGCCAGCAGCCGCGGUAAUUCCAGCUCCAAUAGCGUAUAUUAAACUUGUUGCAGUUAAAAAGCUCGUAGUUGAAUUUUAGCGUGUUCGAGUUUGCCAUUCGUUUGGCUUUUUCGAGUUCGCUUUUGGGUUUUCCCUUUUUACUUUGAGAAAAUUAGAGUGUUUCAAGCAGACUUUUGUCUUGAAUACUUCAGCAUGGAAUAAUAGAGUAGGACUUUGGUUCUAUUUUGUUGGUUAUUGAACCUUAGUAAUGGUUAAUAGGAACGGUUGGGGGCAUCGUAUUUAAAAUUGCUGUGGUUCAUUUUCUUACAAAAUAGAACCUUUGUCCUACUCUAUUAUUCCAUGCUGA
rnacentral:rRNA from 1 species